rnacentral:rRNA from 1 species
UGGGGAAUAUUGCGCAAUGGGCGAAAGCCUGACGCAGCGACGCCGCGUGAGGGAUGACGGCCUUCGGGUUGUAAACCUCUUUCAGCAGGGACGAAGCGCAAGUGACGGUACCUGCAGAAGAAGCACCGGCUAACUACGUGCCAGCAGCCGCGGUAAUACGUAGGGUGCGAGCGUUGUCCGGAAUUAUUGGGCGUAAAGAGCUCGUAGGCGGUUUGUCGCGUCGACUGUGAAAACCUACAGCUUAACUGUGGGCUUGCAGUCGAUACGGGCAGACUUGAGUUCGGUAGGGGAGACUGGAAUUCCUGGUGUAGCGGUGAAAUGCGCAGAUAUCAGGAGGAACACCGGUGGCGAAGGCGGGUCUCUGGGCCGAUACUGACGCUGAGGAGCGAAAGCGUGGGGAGCGAACA